CCUCGUCGCACUGCUGCGGGCAGAUGAAGUGAACAUGGGUGUCGACCCCCCCCGCCGUGACGAUCAUCCCCUCCGCGGCGAUGACUUCCGUGGUCGGCCCGACGAUCAUCGUGGGUGUGACCCCGGCCAUCACAUCCGGGUUCCCGGCCUUGCCGAUCGCCGCGAUGUGACCGUGUUUGAUGCCGAUGUCGGCCUUGUAGAUGCCCGUCCAGUCCAGGAUGACGGCGUUGGUCAGGACGCAGUCGAGCGCUUCCUCCUGCGUCGCCCCCGCGCGCUGCCCCAUGCCAUCGCGCAGG
rnacentral:sRNA from 1 species